UACGAAGGUCCCAAGCGUUGUUCGGAAUCACUGGGCGUAAAGGGAGCGUAGGCGGCGUGGUAAGUCAGAUGUGAAAUCCCCGGGCUCAACCCGGGAACUGCGUCCGAUACUGGCAGGCUUGAAUCCGGGAGAGGGAUGCGGAAUUCCAGGUGUAGCGGUGAAAUGCGUAGAUAUCUGGAGGAACACCGGUGGCGAAGGCGGCAUCCUGGACCGGCAUUGACGCUGAGGCGCGAAAGCCAGGGGAGCAAACGGG
rnacentral:rRNA from 1 species